CUGUAAUACAUGCAGUCGAGCGGACAGAUGGGAGCUUGCUCCCUGAUGUUAGCGGCGGACGGGUGAGUAACACGUGGGUAACCUGCCUGUAAGACUGGGAUAACUCCGGGAAACCGGGGCUAAUACCGGAUGGUUGUUUGAACCGCAUGGUGGGGGAUGAAAGGGGGCUUCGCCCUCUCAUUUGAUUAGGGGGCCCGGGCUAAUAAGUUGGUUUGUGGGGCAACGGCUCACCAAGGCGACAAUGCGUAGCCAACCUGGGAGGGGGAUCGGCCACUGGGGGACUGAAACACGCCCCACACUCCGAGGGGAGGGAGGAAUUGGGAAUCUUCCCCCGUGGAAGAAAGUCUGACGGAACCACCCCGCGUGAGUUAAGAGGUUUUUCAUAACCUAACACUUUGGUGUCCGGGAAAAAAGUAACAAUGAAUUACUGGCGGUUCUUUGAGGGAACCUGACCCCAAAUCCCUGGGCAACUUAUUGCCAGCGACCGCGGGAUACGUAUGUGCCAAGUGUUGUCCGGAAUUAUAGUGGUAAAGCGUCGCAGGCGCCUUCCUUAAGUCUGAUGUGAAAGCCCCCGGCUCACCCGGGGAGGGUCAUUGGAAACUGGGGAACUUGAGUGCAGAAAAGAAGAGUGAAAUUCCACGUGUAGCGGUGAAAUGCGUAAAGAUGUGGAGGAAACACCGUAGGGGAAGGCGAUUCUUUGGUCUGUUAAUUGACGCUCAGGC
rnacentral:rRNA from 1 species